UAAAGUGGCGUACGGGUGAGUAACACGUGGAUAAUCUGCCUUUUAGUGGGGAAUACCGUUGGGAAACCGACGACAAUACCGCAUAAGCUCGAGAGAGGAAAGCAGCAAUGCGCUGAAAGAGGAGUCCGCGGUCGAUUAGUUAGUUGGCAGGGUAAAAGCCUACCAAGACUGUGAUCGAUAGCCGGCCUGAGAGGGCGCACGGACACACUGGAACUGAAACACGGUCCAG
rnacentral:rRNA from 1 species